rnacentral:rRNA from 1 species
UACGUAGGGGGCAAGCGUUGUCCGGAUUCAUUGGGCGUAAAGAGCGUGUAGGCGGCCAGGUAGGUCGGUUGUGAAAACUGGAGGCUCAACCUUCAGAGGUCGACCGAAACCAUCUGGCUAGAGUCCGGGAGAGGAGAGUGGAAUUCUUGGUGUAGCGGUGAAAUGCGUAGAUAUCAGGAGGAACACCAAUGGCGAAGGCAGCACUCUGGGACGUGACUGACGCUGAGACGCGAAAGCGUGGGGAGCAAACAGG